rnacentral:rRNA from 1 species
CCCUUGAAUUGGGGAUAACCCUGCGAAAGUGGGGUUAAUACCGAAUAAUAUUUCAUUCUCUCUGGAGUUUGGAAUCAAAGAUGGCCUCUGCAUGCAAGCUAUUGUUUAAGGAUGGGCCCACGUACCAUUAGCUUGUUGGUGGGGUAAUGGCCUACCAAGGCAACGAUGGUUAGCUGGUCUGAGAGGAUGGCCAGCCACACUGGAACUGAGACACGGUCCAGACUCCUACGGGAGGCAGCAGUGGGGAAUCUUGCGCAAUGGGGGAAACCCUGACGCAGCAACGCCGCGUGGGUGAUGAAGGUCUUCGGGUCGUAAAGCCCUGUCAGGUGGGAAGAAACAUACCGAUGCGAAUAGCAUUGGUAUCUGACGGUACCACCGGAGGAAGCACCGGCUAACUCCGUGCCAGCAGCCGCGGUAAUACGGAGGGUGCAAGCGUUGUUCGGAAUUAUUGGGCGUAAAGCGCGUGUAGGCGGUUGGGUAAGUCAGAUGCGAAAGCCUUCCGCUCAACGGGAGAAGUGCAUUUGAAACUACCCGGCUAGAGUACGGGAGAGGAGAGUGGAAUUCCCGGUGUAGAGGUGAAAUUCGUAGAUAUCGGGAGGAACACCAGUGGCGAAGGCGGCUCUCUGGUCUGAUACUGACGCUGAGACGCGAAAGCGUGGGGAGCAAACAGGAUUAGAUACCCUGGUAGUCCACGCCGUAAACGAUGGGCACUAGGUGUAGGAGGUAUUGACCCCUUCUGUGCCGAAGCUAACGCAUUAAGU